UGAGGAACAUUGGUCAAUGGGCGAGAGCCUGAACCAGCCAAGUAGCGUGCAGGAUGACGGCCCUAUGGGUUGUAAACUGCUUUUAUAUGGGAAUAAAGUGAGGGACGUGUCCCUUAUUGCAUGUACCAUACGAAUAAGGACCGGCUAAUUCCGUGCCAGCAGCCGCGGUAAUACGGAAGGUUCGGGCGUUAUCCGGAUUUAUUGGGUUUAAAGGGAGCGUAGGCCGUUUGGUAAGCGUGUUGUGAAAUGUAGGAGCUCAACUUCUAGAUUGCAGCGCGAACUGUCAGACUUGAGUGCGCACAACGUAGGCGGAAUUCAUGGUGUAGCGGUGAAAUGCUUAGAUAUCAUGAAGAACUCCGAUUGCGAAGGCAGCUUACGGGAGCGCAACUGACGCUGAAGCUCGAAGGUGCGGGUAUCGAACAGG
rnacentral:rRNA from 1 species